GUGUGUUCCAAGUUUGGAACAGGAUUGCCAGUAACUUCGGCGUCAGAUGCACAUCCACAGAAACGCGAAUCCAAGGUGGGACCUUCGCUCAGGUUAACGAAUUCCCUCAUAUGGCCGCACUCGUAGACCGUCUCAAAGGCCAAAACGCCUUCUGUGGGGGAACUCUCAUUUCAGAAAAUUUCGUCUUAACAGCCGCCCAUUGCAUCGACGG